rnacentral:rRNA from 1 species
GACGAACGCUGGCGGCGUGCUUAACACAUGCAAGUCGAACGGAAAGGCCCUGCUUUUGUGCCGUGCUCGAGUGGCGAACAGGUGAGUAACACAUGAGUAUCAUGCCCUUGACUUUCGGAUAACUUCACGGAACUCCGGCUCAUACCGGGUAGAAUCUCCUGCUGCAUGGGGUGGGAUGGAGAGUUUCGGCGGUUGGGGAUGGACUGGCGGCUUAUGAGCUGGAUGGUGGGGUAGUUGAUGACCAAGGCUUUGAAGGGUAGCCGGCAUGAGAGGGGUAACGGCGACAUUGGGACUGAGAUACGGACCAGACUCCUACGGGAGGCAGCAGUGGGGAGUAUUGCACAAUGGGCGGAAGCCUGAGGCAGCAACGCCGCGUGCGGGAUGACGUCCUUCUGGGUGUAAACCGCUUUCGCCUGUGACGAAGCGUGAGUGACGGUAAUGGGUAAAGAAGCACCGGCUAACUACGUG